UACGGAGGGGGCUAGCGUUGUUCGGAAUUACUGGGCGUAAAGCGCGCGUAGGCGGACCUGCAAGUCGGGGGUGAAAGCCCGAGGCUCAACCUCGGAACUGCCUUCGAUACUGCGGGUCUCGAGUCCGGGAGAGGUGAGUGGAAUUCCUAGUGUAGAGGUGAAAUUCGUAGAUAUUAGGAAGAACACCGGUGGCGAAGGCGGCGACCUGGGUAGAUACUGACGCUGAGGAGCGAAAGCGUGGGGAGCAAACAGG
rnacentral:rRNA from 1 species